UCUGAAUCCCUACCGGCAGGCAAUAAAACUAAAAGCCCACAGGAUGUCGUCUUGUUCCGAGGGAACUAAAAAUACUGCUGGGGGACUGGUGGAAUGUCUCGCCAUGGGGGAUGUUUUAUUGCGAUCGGACGGAAAGUUAAUUUUGGAGCUCCACGGUUCACGGGGACACAGAUUCGAAAACGGUCACGUGCCACCUCGGGACGCAGGAUCGCGGAAGCUGGUGCAACGUUGCGCGCAGUUUGCAGCAGUGGGAGUACGAGAAUUUGGGGAAUAAUCGUUGCCCAUGCGAUAUGGGGAUUACAGAUUGCUACGUGUUGCGAGACGUUUACCAAGCUGUUGAAUCAUCGUGCACGAUGCAGCGGUUGACGCCAACCGGAAUAUGACGCAACUGAAAACCACGUGUGUGCAAUUCGGCGGGAUACUACGUGAUCUUGAUCAUGAUUCUCCGUACCCGCUUCCGAUUGGUCCUCUUCAGCCUCUCUUUCACCUGGUCUAGUGUCGUCUCUUCUUGGACCAGUGUUUCUCAAACUGAAGAAAUUUCGGUUUAAACCUUCGAAUAUUUCGGUUUCUGGCAAUUAUAGAGACAUUGACAUAAUUCAAGGCCUCAGUUUAUUGCUAUAUUAUAGGCGACAUAAAAAUCUUUGAAGUGUAGGCGUGAAUCGUGAUUCAAGAAACGUUAAGAAACACUGUCCUAGACGAACUCCCGCUAUACACAUAGACGAGUUCUCGUGCGGGAUGACGUGACGAAAAACACGUCUGACCGAUCCUCCGAGUUAAUUCCGGCUGCUCGUAAACGUGAUCCGAGUUAUU